AGAUAGGUAUUUAAACACAUAAAACCUAAUUUGCAAUUAGAAAUUGUCACAUGACCCUGUCUA
rnacentral:tRNA from 1 species